rnacentral:rRNA from 1 species
CCUACGGGAGGCAGCAGUGAGGAAUAUUGGACAAUGGGCGCAAGCCUGAUCCAGCCAUGCCGCGUGCAGGAAGACGGUCCUAUGGAUUGUAAACUGCUUUUGUACGGGAAGAAACACUCCUACGUGUAGGAGCUUGACGGUACCGUAAGAAUAAGGAUCGGCUAACUCCGUGCCAGCAGCCGCGGUAAUACGGAGGAUCCAAGCGUUAUCCGGAAUCAUUGGGUUUAAAGGGUCCGUAGGCGGUUUAGUAAGUCAGUGGUGAAAGCCCAUCGCUCAACGGUGGAACGGCCAUUGAUACUGCUAGACUUGAAUUAUUAGGAAGUGACUAGAAUAUGUAGUGUAGCGGUGAAAUGCUUAGAGAUUACAUGGAAUACCAAUUGCGAAGGCAGGUUACUACUAAUGGAUUGACGCUGAUGGACGAAAGCGUGGGUAGCGAACAGGAUUAGAUACCCUGGUAGUCCACGCCGUAAACGAUGGAUACUAGCUGUUGGGGGCGAACUUCAGUGGCUAAGCGAAAAGUGAUAAGUAUCCCACCUGGGGAGUACGUUCGCAAGAAUGAAAACUCAAAAUGAAUUGACGG